GCUUAUCACCAUUCCAGAUUGAAUAUACCCGAUCUCCUCUGAUCUCGGAAGUCAAGCAAUCUCGGGCUUGGUUAGUACUUGGAUGGGUGGACC
rnacentral:rRNA from 1 species